rnacentral:rRNA from 1 species
UACGGAGGGUGCGAGCGUUAAUCGGAAUUACUGGGCGUAAAGCGCACGUAGGCGGUCAUUUAAGUCGGACGUGAAAUCCCCGGGCUCAACCUGGGAACUGCGUUCGAUACUGGAUGGCUAGAGUACGGUAGAGGGGGGUGGAAUUCCAGGUGUAGCGGUGAAAUGCGUAGAUAUCUGGAGGAACAUCAGUGGCGAAGGCGACCCCCUGGACUGACACUGACGCUGAGGUGCGAAAGCGUGGGGAGCAAACAGG